AGCGAACGCUGGCGGCAGGCCUAACACAUGCAAGUCGAACGAACUCUUCGGAGUUAGUGGCGGACGGGUGAGUAACACGUGGGAACGUGCCUUUUGGUUCGGAAUAACUCAGGGAAACUUGUGCUAAUACCGAAUGUGCCCUUCGGGGGAAAGAUUUAUCGCCAUUAGAGCGGCCCGCGUCUGAUUAGCUAGUUGGUGAGGUAACGGCUCACCAAGGCGACGAUCAGUAGCUGGUCUGAGGGGAUGACCAGCCACACUGGGACUGAGACACGGCCCAGACUCCUACGGGAGGCAGCAGUGGGGAAUCUUGCGCAAUGGGCGAAAGCCUGACGCAGCCAUGCCGCGUGAAUGAUGAAUGUCUUAGGAUUGUAAAAUUCUUUCACCGGGGACGAUAAUGACGGUACCCGGAGAAGAAGCCCCGGCUAACUUCGUG
rnacentral:rRNA from 1 species